rnacentral:lncRNA from 10 species
CGGUCCACAGGUUGUUUAUGAUAUAAUUGGAGAGGCAGACAAGGUCACGCUGAGUUAACUGACCAAGACCUUGGUGUGGCUGAUGACCCCAGAAAGGGAGAGGACAGUGCAGAUGAGAGUCAGAGAGAAUGACCUGGAAGAGGCCAAAGAGGAAGGGGCUUUGGGAGAUGAGGCAGAGAGGAGCAGGAGAAGCUCAGAGGAGCAGAAGAAGCUGGCGCCAAGAGGAAGACUUGUUGGUGGCACAGUGAGCCCGAGACCACGGUGCAGUGGGUGGUGGGAUAGGCAAGACGGAGAGAAGGAGAUGAGUCAGAAAGGCACGUUAAAGGCUGGGUGUUGUGGCUCAUACCUGUAAUCCCAGAACUUUGGGAGGCCAAGGCGGGCGAAUCACCUGAGGUCAGGAGUUUGAGACCAGCCUGGCCAACAUGAAGAAACCUCAUCUCUACUAAAAAUACAAAAACAUUAGCUGGGCGGGGUGGCGUGUGCCUGCCAGUCCCAGCUACUCAGGAGACUGAGGCAAGAGAAUCGCUUGAACCUGGGAGGGGAGGCGGAGGUUACAAUGAACCGAAAUUGUGCCACUGCAUUCCAGUCUGGGCAACAAGAGCAAGAAUCUGUCUCAAAAAAAAAAAAAAGGAAGGAGGGAAAAGCGCUAAUCUGUUGCAGCCUAUCUAGCCUAGAGGAAGACUGUGUGUUUUCAGGGUGGUGUUGCUUUUUCACAAUCUCUCAAAUAGCAUUAUAAAUAUAAAUGGCCGAAUUGCACGGUGAAUCAGAAAUAACAAUGAUUAUAGUAACAAGCGUGUGGACAACCCAGCCUGCAGUCCAAAUUCCCCUGCACCCCACUGGCUGCCCCUGGCCCUCCUGAGGCCCAGAGGCAUGAACAUGUGCAGGGCUAGCCACUGGAGAGGAUGGACCCAGGGCAAAGGCCAAGCCUCAGGGGUCUCGGGGCUGACUGAGUAGGAAAUGAGAGGCCCUGGCCUUGUGGAUAAUUCACCUCAGGGUGAGGCAGCUGUAGGAGUAGGCACUCUGCAGCGAGGGCUGGGCUGGGCCCCUUGCCUGGGGCCUGGCGCGGCGGGUGUCCCACUCCAAAGCCUAGGCUUGCCACACGCAGGAGGGCUGGACCCUCUCCAUCACCUGACUCAAAGGCCCUUAUAGGGGUCACCCAAUGAACACGGUACUGGAGACCCGCUGAUACCCCUUGAAGACUAAUACACGG